UCACCGGCAGCGAGCGUCUGACCGAUUGCGACCUCUACGUCACGCUGGAACCCUGCACCAUGUGCGCUGCGGCGAUUUCCUUCGCGCGCAUCCGGCGGCUUUACUAUGGCGCGGCCGAUCCGAAGGGCGGCGCGGUGGACUCGGGCGUGCGAUUCUUCGCCGCGCCGACCUGUCAUCAUGCACCGGAGAUUUAUCCGUCAGUCGGCGAAAGCGAAGCCGCCGCGCUGCUGACGAAUUUCUUCAAGGCGCGGCG
rnacentral:misc_RNA from 1 species